rnacentral:lncRNA from 1 species
UGCCAUACAGACCACAUUAGGUGGUUCCGACUCGUGUGCAUAAUUUGAUUGAUGAGUUAUGGACUCAGCCGUACAGGUCACUUUAGGUGAGUCCAGCUAGCAUACUAUUUCAUAUUGAUUUAUUGCACCUGACUUACUUAUUUUCUUUCUGAGAUUUCACAUGGAAUAUUCGGUGGAUUGCUAUUUUGAAUAUGAUUUUGAGAUAUAAUCGUAUAUGCUAUUUUCUGGGAAUUAUACAGGUUUUACGGCGAGGGGUUACUACUUUUGAUGAAUGAAAUGAUUUAGAAAAGCUUUGUUUUUACCCACUCACACUUUUUGUUUUGCGCCCGUCCAGGUUUUAUGUAGGAGUGCUCGUUGGUGGCUCAAAAGGAAUACAUGGCAGCUCUGACAGAUUUUCACUAAUGUAGGACCAUAUUUGGUAUUGUAUAAUUAGUAUUCGUCCAACUGGACUACACCUAGGAUACCUACGCUCUGGUUAUGUGUAGUCACUUUAAUAUCACUUUCACCUUAUCUCAUCUAGUGUUUUAGUCAGUUGGUUUUUAUUUAUUCGCAUUUCUUAUAUCAUUAUUGCUUCCACACUGUGCACAUGGCUAUGUCACCCUCACGUAACGGCCAGCAUGCCUCAAUAUUAGGUCGAGGUGUGUCAGCUUUGGCCGAAGAACCUUCAAUGCCAAAGUUAGAAUUUUGAGGGAAAGUGUUUGGAGAAUUUUAUAGAAUUUUUGCUAGAGAAUUGGAAGUGCACUUUGUGGAGAAUGAUGGAGUUUAAAUAGGAGAG